rnacentral:miRNA from 11 species
GUGUGUGUGUGUGUGUGUGUGUGUGUGUGUGUGUGAUAUUUAUAUAUAUACACACACACACACACACACACACACACGCACGCACA